ensembl:lncRNA
AGGAGCAACUGCUGCCCGAGGACCUGGCCUUCAGCGCCAGCCAGCCCACCGACAGGUGAUGGGGUCUGCCCCCCGGGCUGGGUCCAGUACCUCGCUCUGAUUGGCCAGAUGGCUGCAGAGAGCAGCAGAUGGAGGAGUACACGCGUGAAGUCUCCCGGAGAACUGAUGCGUCCACUUUGUACAAUCUUAUAGAGCAGCUCACCUGGAAUGUCUUUCAGGACGUUUAGUUUGAGUUCUCUACCGUGAGCACACAGACUCCUGGUCAACCAUGUAUUUAAUGCACUUUUUGAGUUUUUACACUGUUAAUUACUGACGGAAUAUGUGCUAUCCCUGUAUUUCUGCUCUCAAACUCAUGGGAAUGAAACUGAAAUCAAAGCUUGACCCCACAUCAAUAUUUCCACUAUAUCACCCCUUGUGUACACCAACCUUUACACCCGACUGCCGGUUUCACAAAGACGUAAAGUCGAUUUGUAGGCAGAGCUGUCCUCCUGUUUGCAGUCGUCUGGCCUGAGGUUGGGAAAAAGGUAAAUAUUGUAAAUAUUUGAAACUGACCGUCUAAUUCCGCCUUUAUCAGCAGCUCAUAGCGGCUGACUUGUUUCAGGCUAGUUCUCGUUGGGCGAGGCCCGCUUUUCUUUACACCUUGUGAACGAUGCUUCACCACUCAUUUUGUUUCGGUUUUAUUGAGUUGUUAUGCAGCGUCUCAGCAGCAGAUGUGUGGGAGAGAUUCCCAUCGCUGCCAUUUAGUCGUAUUUCACUUUCCUUGUUGGGUGGUUUUAUCAGUCCUCUCACUCCCCAUAACUAAAGUGUAUUUUCAUUUGGGACCAUUCUUAUGUAGCUCGUGUCUUAUGGUGCAUCACAAACAGCCGUGUCUUGUAGUGUAAGGAUUACUGGGUCGGAGAGGUUCUUGUUCACAAGGGACAUUGAGGGAAUCUUCUGAGGCAAGUUAGAAACUGAGGAUGGCUUGUGUGAUAUAAAUGUGGGGGGUGUGAUUGUGGGUGUGAUUGUGUGGGUCUGUAUGACUUUGUAUCAUUCCUCACUCUAAAGAUCAAUCUCUUGCUAACUCAAUUCAGUCUUGUAAAUUACACAAAAACACACUUCUGUGUUAUGAGUUGUGUGUACUAUUUCUGUGCUAUAUCACAAGUUGUUCCUUCUAAUGCACAUUAUUGAUUUGUUUGUGUUUGUGUGUGGCAUCAGAUAAGUAGAAUAAAAUAUUUAAUUAGAUUUUUU